AUUCCAUGUUGGGUAAUGGCUAUUGUUUUUUACAAAGCAACAGAGGAAAGUCCGAACACACCCAAGCACCAUGAUGGUGCUCGGAAAAGGGUAGCGGGUAAUGCCCGUCGAAUGGCUUGAAGGGGCUAUAGAGGUGCGAGCAGAGACGUCGUAUUCCGAAAGGAAUCGAAGCUCGGUUUUAUUCUUAAAAUCGGCUAGUUUCUAUGGCAACAUAGAAAGUGAAACGGCUAAAUCCUUACCUGUGUGCAAGGCCGUGCCGAGCACCACUUUUGGUGAAAAAGAUUUUUUACCAAAAGUGGUGCUCGGAGUGCCGCAUUGAGGUGUGUGGCAACACACAUCCCAGAUAAAUCAUUGCCACGUGCGUAGCACGUACAGAAUUCGGCUUAUAGACAUGGUCCUUCA
rnacentral:RNase_P_RNA from 1 species